UCUUUCAGUAUAUGAGCAUUCAUAAAAUAAAUGGUUCUUGCAUUCCAAAUUUUCCAUUCAGAACAAACAUAGGAGACCGAUAUUGUUACCCCAUUAGCAGGCCUAUCACGGGUAUAUAACAUUUUCUUGGCUAUUAGCCAGCAUAUGAAGGGUCCAUUGUUGCCAUCGCUUCUCAAUUGGAGGAAAUGGUUGGUGUCUUGUUCUAUUACGAUCAAGUCUUUGGAUCUCCUUUGCACGCUGAAGUUACCAUUUCAAAGCUAACAGAGGAGAGGAGUUCAAGCAUUCAAGAUAUAAGAGUCUAACAAAGAGAAACUUGCAGAACUAAGCAAAAGAGGAGAGAUUAGAGGAGACUCAAGAGUCAGAUUUCCUCUUCUAUUUGUUUGUAUGGUGGCCAUCACCAGUGUUGUGCUUGGAUACCUUUUACACCCUUUCAACACUUUAUAAAGCAUCAACACUAUAUGAUUAAUUCCUAGUUAGUUAAUUAGAGAUAUCGGUAUAAGAAUCUCUUCCUAAUUAUAAAUUUUCAGAGGUAUUUUAGUCAGUAUGUUCUUUCUAGCCAAUUUACUCAGAAUGGAAUGUAACUUCCAUAAUAAGUGUGCUGUGUCUGUGAGUAUACCAAUUUCUUUUAAUUUUCACUCUGGCUACCAAAAUUUUAUUGAGCGGUUAGGCAUGGUUUUUCAAUUCAUUAUCAGCUCUUUACUCAACACCACCUUUCACUACCACCACAACCACAUUCUACUCUUCUUUUAUCAUAUAUAUAUAUAUAGACACACACACUCUAGCUACAUGAAGAAAAAUAUAAGUCAAAUACGGUUAUUUGACAUCUGAAAAUAAAAAUCUGUUGUGUAAAUACUAAUUUUUUAAUUUAAAUUCCUUCUCAAAAAAAAAUUUUUUGUUUAAUUUAAAUUAAAUAGUUUUCCAUUCCCAACCAAAGCCAGGCAUG